CUCCCGUCCGCGCGGUCCGCCCGAAGUCACGAAGCGCCGGCGCCGCCCACUGCCUUCGAUAGGCCGACUGUCCGAGUCGCCGGAGGCCGGAGACCCGGCUGCAGCCUGAGCAGCGAAGGCCGGAGCGCCGGCUGCAGGCUGCAGCGGGGGGCGACUGAAGCCCCAGGCUGACAGCUGGCCAGGCCGCCACCGCCACUGCCGAGGCCCCAGGCGGCCAGCGGGGCCCAUCCUCCUUGGCCGUUGGGUGGCCUCUCUAGUGCCCGUCGGCGCCAUGGCGGCCCUCGUGCCAUGGAUCCUACGGCGGCGACCUGUCCGCUCUGCCACGUCUCUGGUCUCCAUUCGUGAUUCAUGGCAUCGAAUGUGCGGCUCCUCUUCCUCAUCUCCUGCAGCGUCGUUCGAGUGUUUGUGGGGAUGGUUUGGGCCAGAGGAACACAGGCGGAGGUGGAGGCCGUGGUUUCAGCAGCCCGUGAGGUGCGGGAGCACGGGGAUCACACUCGAUACGGACGGCAAGUUUGCGAGGUUCGGGGUCGGCGACACGGGCGUCGCCAAACAGAAGGGGAGGCAGCAGUCGCCUCCAAAGAAGAAGAUGUCCAGGAAGGCCAAGGUCAACCAGCUUAAGUGGUACCGCCUCAAGGCCAAGAAGAAGAUGAAGUCCCCCAACCCCGAAGUUAGGAUCAGAUACAAGCUUGAAAAGGCUAAGAGGAAGGAGGAAUGGUUGAUUGAGAAGCUGAGGAAGUAUGAUGUCCCGAGGACACCGGAGCCAGUUCAUGACCCUGAGAUUCUUACUGAGGAGGAGAAGUUUUAUCUCAAGCGAACUGGGGAGAAGAAGAAGAAUUAUGUUCCUGUUGGGAGGAGAGGGGUUUUUGGUGGUGUGGUUCUCAACAUGCACCUCCAUUGGAAGAAUCAUGAGACUGUGAAGGUGGUUUGCAAGCCUUGUCGACCUGGACAAGUUUACGAGUAUGCUGAGGAAUUAACAAGGCUCAGCAAAGGCACAAUCAUUGAUAUUAAACCCAAUAAUACAAUUAUGUUUUAUCGGGGGAAGAACUAUGUGCAACCACAGGUGAUGUCACCUCCAGAUACUCUUUCAAAGCAGAAGGCCUUAGAGAAAUAUAGAUAUCUACAAUCCCUUGAGCAUACCAGCCAGUUUAUUGAGAAGCUAGAGAAGGAGCUUGAAGAUUACAAGAAGCAUGUUGCUUUAUUCAAGAACCGUGAGGGAGUUGCUUCUGAGAAAAUCAGCAACGAACAUUCCACUGUUGACGAUCCUGCAACUACCUUAGAUUCUAAAUGAGCUCUUUGGACAUGCUGGCAUAAUAGAUCUUUCAGUAGUGAAGGCUUUUCACUUCUCAAGCUUCCUUGCUACAUAGAAGACAAUGAAUUGUAGUUUUGGAGCUGGAAUAGUACUGCAGGUCCCUCUCAGAAAUAAAGACGUUUACUGUGAUUGCAAAGGAUCGUGGUCUACACUGCCACAGGUACUGGGCUGUUCCUGAGAAGAUGUGCAUGUGCAGAAGGACAAUGAUGACUUUAAGGAUUGGCUCGAUAAAAAGGGCCUGCCUUGCCAACACUAAGUGGGAGCUCAGAAGUUAAUUUUCCCACUAACUCUGAUCCUAAGACAGGCACUGGAUCUUCCUGAGGCCGGCGUCACAUCAAGCCUAAGCGACCUCUGCUGAACCCAACAAGAUCAACUACCAAUGGCAGCUACGAAAAACAUUGCUAAAUGGCUGGUAGGUUUGACAGAUAAGCUCAAGCGAACAGGCUGACCCGAUUCAAGGGAACACUUGGAAAGAUGCAAAGUCUGUAAUUCUGAAGAUUCUGAUCACGAUCCAAGGGUGGUCGGUGCUCUGCCUGCCAGGAUUUCAGCUCCAAGCUUGCUGCCUUGAAGAAGGAUAGCAGUCAGCCCAGCAAGGUUGACAUGCUGCUGAAUGGAGAAGAUUUCUAUUCUUGAAUGCUAUGAAUUGGAAGGACAAGACUUUGCAGGCUGAAGCAGAAGAGUUGCUCUCCAGGAGUUCGUCUGUUGAGGAGGCGGUUGAAUCUGGGAAAUGGCUGAAUUUAGCUGCGCUUGGUGUUUCCUGGGAUAUGUGAGGGAGUUGGAGUUUGUUUUGUGCUGGGUUCUCUGGGUGGUUCUUAGGCCCUGUUCGCUUGAACUUAUCUGUCAAAUCUACCAUCCAUUCAAUAAUGUUUUUCUCUCAUGACAAAUCAGUAAACUUAUCUGCCGAAUUUGUGUGUUGGAUAUGAUAGGUGGGUGUGUUCCACCUGGAUGCUGUCAA